rnacentral:misc_RNA from 1 species
CAUGUUUUUGAAGUAAGAGACUUGAAAUUUAAAAUGUAUGCUCUAUAGAUGGUAACAAGGUGUCCAAAAAAUGUUUCUUAGAAAUCAACUCCCAUUUGGGGUUAAAACGGGGGAUGUUACGUUGACCCACUCAUCACGAAAUCUCCGAAACUAUAACAGUUAUAAACUUAAAAUUUGUCAGGUAGGUUUCUUAUAAGGCG